GAUGAACGCUGGCGGCGUGCCUAAUACAUGCAAGUCGAGCGAACAGACGAGGAGCUUGUUCCUCUCACGUUAGCGGCGGACGGGUGUGUAACACGUGUAUACCCUACCUAUAAGACGGGGAUAACUUCGGGAAACCGGCGCUAAUACCGGAUAAUAUAUUGAACCGCAUGGUUCAAUAGUGAAAGACGGUUUUGCUGUCACUUAUAGAUGCAUACGCGCCGCAUUAGCUAGUGGGUAAGGUAACGGCUUACCAAGGCAACGAUGCGUAUACGAAGUGAGAGGGUGAUAGGCCACACUGGAGCUGAGCCGCGGACAAGACGACUACGAGAGGCAGCAGAAUGGAACCGGCCGCAGUGGUGGGGAGCAUUACGGAACAGCGGGGAGUGAGAUAUGAAGGCCCUGGGAGCGGAAAACUCUGUUAUGAGGGAAGAACCAAUUUCGAAGGAACCGAGGCGGGCGUGACGGUACCUGAUCAGAAAGCCACGGCUAACUACGUG
rnacentral:rRNA from 1 species